rnacentral:rRNA from 1 species
AGUGAACGCUGGCGGUAGGCCUAACACAUGCAAGUCGAACGGCAGCACAGUAAGAGCUUGCUCUUACGGGUGGCGAGUGGCGGACGGGUGAGGAAUACAUCGGAAUCUACUUUUUCGUGGGGGAUAACGUAGGGAAACUUACGCUAAUACCGCAUACGACCUACGGGUGAAAGCAGGGGAUCUUCGGACCUUGCGCGAUUGAAUGAGCCGAUUUCGGAUUAGCUAGUUGGCGGGGUAAAGGCCCACCAAGGCGACGAUCCGUAGCUGGUCUGAGAGGAUGAUCAGCCACACUGGAACAGAGACACGGUCCAGACUCCUACGGGAGGCAGCAGUGGGGAAUAUUGGACAAUGGGCGCAAGCCUGAUCCAGCCAUACCGCGUGGGUUAAGAAGGCCUUCGGGUUGUAAAGCCCUUUUGUUGGGAAAGAAAAGCAGCAGGUUAAUACCCCGCUGUUCUGACGGUACCCAAAGAAUAAGCACCGGCUAACUUCGUG